ensembl:lncRNA
GUGCCUGGCCUCUUUUACUUUUUAAUAAAGCCUUUGUGGAGGGCCCAGCCUGUCUCAUCAGCACUGGGACAAACAAGGGUUUUCAGCCCUUGGCUUCUGAAUGCUAGGGCAGAAUAUUCCAGAACACAUCUGAGGCCAGCACAACGCUUGCAGCAAGAAGAAGGAUGAAGAUGAAAGGCAGAAGGAAAGAAAUAUCACCUGAAGUGAAAGACUUUGUGCCCAUCUGCAAAGGCUCAGUGAAUUCUAAGAUAUCUCAGAAAUUGCCAAACUCAAUGUUACUUAUUUUCAUGACAAGGCGUCGGAAACACAAAGAUGUUAAUGCACUUAUGUAAAAUUCAGUGGUGAGAUCAUGGUGAAGUGAAGAGUGGAAUCUGUGUCUCCUGGCUCUUAGUGUUCUUUCAAUGUGUCCAUUACUAAUGUGUGUGUGUGUAAAACACCUUUAUGUUUGUGGCUAAGAUAACCACAUGGGGGCUGGAAGGGCUUUGAUCUCCAGUCUCAAAUCAUCCCGAAGAAACCACAGGGCAUUUUAACUGGCUCUCCUUGUCUCAUUCUCUCUGCGACAAAUUCGUACAAAAGUUGUUUGCCCCUGACUGGUCCAGCCCGUCUGCAUCCCUGGUCCUGAAGCUGCAUACGCUGGGUUGCCUGUGAAUCUGUCUCACCAUGAAAGGCCUUCCUGUGUGUGCUCACCUCCACGCCAGUGACUCAGCUAGAACCUUUUUACCUCAUCAUUGGAGGUGCAGAUUUGCCACUUAAUAACGAGUCUACUCCCUAGUUGAUGCUGGUUAGAUGUUCGAGAAACCGUCAGUGAAGACUGGAAGAUGUCACCAAAUUCCAAGUCAUGCACCUAUGUGGCGCUGGGUAGAUAAAGCAGAAUGUCUCUGAGCAACACCAUUCUACCAUCAGUGCUGAAUCCUCCUUGUAGGAUCCAUCUCCAGAGGAGCGAUCAAUCUCAGUUCCUUCAUGACGCUAUUCCAUCAAGGUGAAACUCCAUGCAUUUCCUCAGAUGAGGACUCUGAUAGACCUAACAGAUGCUGUGUCCAUCCUGAGAUAACGAUGUUCGUGAGGAUGGACCCCACAUCACCCCACACGACAGACUCAUGUAACAGACUCACUCUCCCACCUGUGGCCGGGGCAUCUGGAUGCUUGGAUUGGCAGCCUCAUCAGGACCUCAUAAAGAGAAGAAGGGAAUUAUCCUCCCAAAAAGGAGUUCUCUUAUGAGAAGAUGGGAGGAAGGUGCCUGGGCACUCAGAAACAACAGAUGGCUACAAAAACCACCAAAUAACAGUUGUCAAUUGAAUUCUACAGCCAAUGGAAAAGCUGUGAACGGACAAGAUGCAGUUGACUAAACAUUAACCUAAGCAUAAAGUCACAUAAAAGCACCUAAAAGCAACAGGCAGACUUGGUUUUAAUGCAGCUGGUGGAGCCUCUUCUCAGCCCAAUAACUAGAGGGAACGAAGGGGUCUUCAUCGGUCUUAUUGGGAGGAAGCACCUGUUUCUGCACAUUUUGUUGAUCCUCAUAUCUGCCACUUUCUGCUCCUAGUGACCCGCUAGUCACAGAGAAUUAUCCACUUCUGUCCGAAAUUUCUCUUAUAUAAUUGUCAGUUGUUACAUCUUCAACAGUUUAAAUGGUAAUCAUGCCUGUUUCUCUUUGCUUCUGUACAGAUCUCCAGGUCUGAAUAAAAUCUGGGAACCAACGUUCCCCUAACCCUGA